UGGCGGCGUAGCUCAGCUGGCUAGAGCAUUCGGUUCAUACCCGGAGUGUCGGCAGUUCAAGUCUGCCCGCCGCUAU
rnacentral:tRNA from 1 species